rnacentral:lncRNA from 1 species
UGACGAAUAGAAAAAUGCCUAAAGUAAACUCUCUUCCGGUUGGCUCUCCUCCACCACGUACGACUUGAAGCUGUUGGAGACAUGCCCGCUCGCCCUCCCCCUGCUUCCUCUCAUCUACUGCGAUGCCUUCCUCCACCUCCCUCAUGUCAGCCCUCUCGACCUUCUUCUUCUUUAAUCCACCACUGCCGGAGAGAGAUGGAGGAGGACGUUGUGGUCGUCGUUGGCGAAGGUAGGAGGAAAGUGCCGGCGAGGAGAGCCGCUCAACCUCCGGAGAGUGCAAUCCGGGGAUCGAGUCGUGUUGGAUGGAUAUUCAGGAAAGGCCGUGAUCGAGGACAGCAGGGAGGGUGGCAGCAGCGACGCGCCGGGGGCAAGGAGUUAGGAGACGGCGGCGGGGCUGGGGCCAAGUUUUAAGGUCCUCCUUCGGUGGGUAAAAAAUCGGUCUAACUUUCCAUUCACCAA